rnacentral:rRNA from 1 species
GGCCGGAUCUUUGGGYCAAUUGCGUGUAGCGCUUGUUAGCCGGGUAGGGUUAGAAAUUGGUUCAAUGUUGUGAUAAAUUAAUCGUCGGUUUUUAUAUCUGUUUAAUGUUUUAGUUUUCUGUUUAUUUGUGGGGCGUUAAGGUCCUAUGGAGGUAUAUAUGCUUAUUAUUGAGUUUAUUAUGAGAGGGUUAAAGUUCCCCCUUUGUUGAAAGUUUGUUAAAAAAUUUAAUGAUCUGUCUUGGGCAUUAUGUUUAAUUAGCGUUUAAAUCUUAUAUUUUGUUUUAUGUAUGACUUAAUAAGUAAUGRGAAUAAUGUCAUUAUUUCUCGAGCUUAGCCCGUCUGUUUAUCAAAAACAUUUCCAUUUAUCAUAUUUGAUGGUAGGACCUGCUCUAUGUGUUUAUAAAUGGCCGCGGUAUUUUGACCGUGCGAAGGUAGCAUAAUUAAUUGCCUCUUAAUUGGGGGCUUGUUUGAAUGGUUUGACGAGGUUAAUUGCAAAUUUUGGUGUUUUCAUUGAAAUUAAUUUUGGGGGCACGGAAUCCCCUAGGUUUAAUUAGACGGAAAGACCCCGGGAUCUUUCUUUUUUGCUUGGGGCAAGUUAGAUGGUUUUAUAUUUAUURYGAACCUUUUAGGUUUAAUGGUUUAAGUUACCCCGGGGAUAACAGGGUAAUAGUUUAUAAGAGGUCUUAUUGAAUAAACUGCUUGCCACCUCGAUGUUGACUUAGGUUUAUGCUCCGGCGCAGUCGUCGGAGCGGGAUGGUCUGUUCGACCUUUAUUACCU